rnacentral:rRNA from 1 species
AUUGAACGCUGGCGGCAGGCCUAACACAUGCAAGUCGAACGAGUGGCGGACGGGUGAGUAAUGUCUGGGAAACUGCCUGAUGGAGGGGGAUAACUACUGGAAACGGUAGCUAAUACCGCAUACCAUCGGAUGUGCCCAGAUGGGAUUAGCUGGUAGGGGGGGUAACGGCUCACCUAGGCGACGAUCCCUAGCUGGUCUGAGAGGAUGACCAGCCAAACGUGAACUGAGAAACGGUCCAGACUCUUACGGGAGGCAGCAGGGGGGAAUAUUGCACAAUGGGCGAAAGCUGGAUGCAGCCAGGCCGGGUGUAUGAAGAAGGCCUUCGGGUUGUAAAGUACUUUAAGCGGGGAGGCGUUACCCGCAGAAGAAGCACCGGCUAACUCCGUGUCAGCAGCCGCGGUAAUAC